GUGGGGAAUAUUGGACAAUGGGCGAAAGCCUGAUCCAGCCAUGCCGCGUGUGUGAAGAAGGUCUUCGGAUUGUAAAGCACUUUAAGUUGGGAGGAAGGGCAGUAAGUUAAUACCUUGCUGUUUUGACGUUACCGACAGAAUAAGCACCGGCUAACUUCGUGCCAGCAGCCGCGGUAAUACGAAGGGUGCAAGCGUUAAUCGGAAUUACUGGGCGUAAAGCGCGCGUAGGUGGUUUUGUAAGUUGGAGGUGAAAUCCCCGGGCUCAACCUGGGAACUGACUCAAAAACUGCAUGACUAGAGUACGGUAGAGUGUAGUGGAAGUUCCUGUGUAGCGGUGAAAUGCGUAGAUAUAGGAAGGAACACCAGUGGCGAAGGCGACUACCUGGACUGAUACUGACACUGAGGUGCGAAAGCGUGGGGAGCAAACAGGAUUAGAAACCCUGGUAGUCC
rnacentral:rRNA from 1 species